rnacentral:piRNA from 1 species
UAGUUACCAUAGAGACUGCCUGCUG